rnacentral:tRNA from 2 species
GGGGGUUUAGCUCAGCUGGGAGAGCAUCUGCCUUACAAGCAGAGGGUCGGCGGUUCGAGCCCGUCAACCCCCACCA